rnacentral:rRNA from 1 species
UACGUAGGGACCGAGCGUUGUCCGGAAUCAUUGGGCGUAAAGAGCGUGUAGGCGGCUUGUUAAGUCUUGCGUGAAAUCUCGGGGCUCAACCCCGAGCGGUCGUGAGAAACUGGCAGGCUAGAGUGCGGGAGAGGAGAGUGGAAUUCCGAGUGUAGAGGUGAAAUUCGUAGAUAUUCGGAAGAACACCAGUGGCGAAGGCGACUCGCUGGACAAGUAUUGACGCUGAGGUGCGAAAGCGUGGGGAGCAAACAGG